UAUCAUGGCAUUAUUGAAUCU
rnacentral:piRNA from 1 species